rnacentral:rRNA from 1 species
UACGGAGGGUGCGAGCGUUGUUCGGAAUCACUGGGCGUAAAGGGCGUGUAGGCGGUCCGCUAAGUCUGAUGUGAAAGCCCGGGGCUCACCCCCGGAAGUGCAUUGGAAACUGGCGAACUCGAGUCCCGGAGAGGAGAGUGGAAUUCCUGGUGUAGCGGUGAAAUGCGUAGAUAUCGUAAGGAAGACCAGUGGCGAAGGCGGGUCUCUGGACAGUUCCUGACGCUGAGGCACGAAGGCCAGGGGAGCAAACGGG